UACGUAGGGUGCGAGCGUUAAUCGGAAUUACUGGGCGUAAAGCGUGCGCAGGCGGUUUUGCAAGCCGGAUGUGAAAUCCCCGGGCUUAACCUGGGAAUGGCAUUUGGGACUGCAAGGCUGGAGUGCGGCAGAGGAGACUGGAAUUCCUGGUGUAGCAGUGAAAUGCGUAGAUAUCAUGAGGAAUACCAGAGGCGAAGGCGGCUACCUGGACAAUUGCUGACGCUCAGGCACGAAAGCGUGGGGAGCAAAAGGG
rnacentral:rRNA from 1 species